rnacentral:rRNA from 1 species
AUUGAACGCUCGCGGCAGGCUUAACACAUGCAAGUCGAACGAGUGGCGGACGGGUGAGUAAUGUCUGGGAAACUGCCCGAUGGAGGGGGAUAACUACUCGAAACGGUAGCUAAUACCGCAUACUAUUAUAUGUGCCCAUAUGGGAUUAGCUAGUUGGUGGGGUAACGGCUAACCAAGGCGACGAUCCCUAGCUGGUCUGAGAGGAUGACCAGCCACACUGGAACUGAGACACGGUCCAGACUCCUACGGGAGGCAGCAGUGGGGAAUAUUGGACAAUGGGCGAAAGCCUGAUGCAGCCAUGCCGCGUGUAUGACGAAGGCCUUCGGGUUGUAAAGUACUUUCGGCGGGGAGGCGUUACCCGCAGAAGAAGCACCGGCUAACUCCGUGCCAGCAGCCGCGGUAAUUC